UACGAAGGGGGCUAGCGUUGUUCGGAUUUACUGGGCGUAAAGGGCGCGUAGGCGGCCACUGCAAGUCGGUUGUGAAAUCUCCGGGCUUAACCCGGAAAGGUCAGCCGAUACUGCAGGGCUAGAGUGCAGAAGGGGCAACUGGAAUUCUCGGUGUAGCGGUGAAAUGCGUAGAUAUCGAGAGGAACACCUGCGGCGAAGGCGGGUUGCUGGGCUGACACUGACGCUGACAGCGCGAAAGCUAGGGGAGCGAACGGG
rnacentral:rRNA from 1 species